UUUUAAAACUAAAACGUGUAAAAUUUCACUCUUUAUUUCGUCAUAUACAAUUAUUAUGUGUUAUUGCACAUAUUUUUUUACAAGGAAAGCUAAAUUAUUUACAUACAUAUAUUUGAAUACUCUGAAUAUUUUAUUUUACAGGAAAAUUAUGAAAAAACUCUGGAGAUGACAUGUGUUACUGAGCACUCCCCAUAUCAAUACUUUUUCACUCCAGGAUGUAUCGACACGUUAAGGAAAACAUAGAAGUGCCAUUUUAUCACCUGGAAAUAGGGACAGUUGCUGUUACUCAACGAAGGACUUAUCGCAGUAAACUAGUUGUGUCCUGAAAUAGACGCCAGGUCGCCAUUUUACUAUGGAUAUACCGAAAGUCCGCCAUAUUUUGAUUAUUUUCCGCAGAUGCAAGACCGCCAGAGAGCAAGGCGCGCUUAAUGGACUAUCCUGUGAGACAAUGUGCUGAAGGAGGAAUUUAUCACAAUGAACUGAUAAUCCAACAAAGUUGAAGGAAUUAGAGAUAAUUUUGAUGCUACUGGAAGAAUCGAUAAAUUUAACGUCUUCACCUUGCAACAUUAUGCAGUUAAUUUUUGCUGUAACAAUGAGGAGGCAAUCGGAAGUUAAUUUGGAAGCAACUGAAACAACAG